UGUACUGUGACAUAUCAGUGCAACCGCCAA
rnacentral:sRNA from 1 species